rnacentral:lncRNA from 1 species
CCGGGAUCUUUUGGGCAAACACGAACCCGCAGUGUGAAUGUCCCAGAGUGUGUGUUUGAACGUGCGAGUGACACAAAUGACAUGGAAUAUGUGGAAAUGGAAGACGGACCGACCCAGACGGUAGACGUGGGUUGUGUAACGGACGGGAACGGCGAGCCUAAUGGGCCGCACGGAACUAUUUCGGGAACCGCGCCGGCUCCGCGGGACGCUGUGUGCGAGAUCCGCUCCGUGUUUUGCAAACCUCCCGAGCAGGGACGAUUGCGUGAAGGGAAGCCGGUGCUGAAACGCUCGGCGCUUGGUAGAAGACCGCGCGGACGGCUAAAAUGGAGGCGAAUUGGGUCGAGUGAAUUCGGAAAGCACGAAUCCCCAUGUGAGCGCGUGUGUGGGACUCGAUGUGCUGUUGGCGGAGCGGGUCCCGAUGGCGAGGACACCGCCGGGCCCGUGUGCGUGGUCAGCCGCGCGGAGCGGUCUGUGUGCGAGUGACGUCAUCCGCGGGGAUCGCGCGGAACGAAGGCCGGGAUGAUGCACCAAUGUGUGGGUUGUCCUUCGGAAGGACGUCAAAUCAGAGGAACAAAGCCGUCGGUGGAUGUUAAAGAUCCCACAGUGUCUCUCGUGAAGAGUAGAUUAUACUUGCUGAAGUCAAGGUUGCCAAUCUCAUCGCGCAGCACAACUUUCCGCUCGCAACAGUCGAUCAUCUCAGCCAACUGUUUCACGAUAUCUUCCCAGAUUCUGAAAAUUGCAAAGCAGUAUUCCCCGGCCAAAACCAAGACAACCUGUAUGCUGAAUGGGGCGAAUUCCCCUCACUUCCGAGUGAAUCUGGUGGAAAAUAUGAAAGACCAACCAUACUCCCUUGCUGUUGAUGGUUCCAACAAUACUGGGCUCGAGAAGAUGAAUCCUCUUUCAGUUGGAAUUUAUGAUGUCAACACAAGCAGGGUUGAAUUUCAUCUCCUUGAUAUGUGCCUAACUUCAGGAGUUAACUCAGCAACAGCUGCAGGUGUAUUUGACAAAAUAAAUGAGAAAAUUGCUCAACAUGACAUUCCUUGGGAGAACUGUGCGGCGUUUGGGGUUGACAACACAAGUGUAAACUUCGGUAGAAAGAACAGAAUCGAGACCAGAGUAAUCAAACUGGUAGAAUCUUGUUAUUUCGUAGGACGUGCCUGUCAUUUAGUACACAACCUUGCCUGCAAAGCAUCCGAUUCUCUCCAAAAGUUAAAUUUGACAUGGAAGAUUUCUGUGUCGAUAUCUUUUAUUGGUUUGAUAAGUCAACAAAAAGGAAAGGAAUUCUGAGUGACUUCUGUACAUUCUGCGACUCAGAAUAUAUACAGGUUAUAAAGCAUGUCAACACCAGCUGGCUGAGUCAGGAAAAGGCAGUUGGUCGUAAUUUGCAGAUAUUUGAAGGUAGUAAGAGUUACUUUAAAUCUUCAGACGAAAGCCGUCCUGGAUUCAAGAGGCAACAGAAGCACUUUGAAGAUCCUACGACAGUGGUGUACCUGUUCCUCUAUCAAUCUGUGCUGCCCAUAUUCACAAACUUCAACAAGUUUCUUCAAAGGGAAGACCCUUGCAUCUUUGCAAUCUUCCCGCAGAUGCAGUCUUUCAUGAAAAAGCUCCUUGCAAAGUUUGUGAAGGUUGACGUGAUAAUGGAAGGUCUACCUGCCGUCACUGACAUUGACUUUGUGCCUGGAAACAAAUCAACGAUCAAAUGAAGCUAUCUUUGUUGGUGAGUCUACCAGAGAAAAACUGGAAUAUCUCGAGGAACAAGGGGACAUAUCUCCACAGGAUUGCAACAAGUUUUUCAAGGACGUCAGAGCCUUCUAUUCUAAGGCAGCAGCGGAAGCACUUCAAAAGCUUCCAUGGCUUGACAAACGUGACAUUCUCAGACAAUUUAAGUUUGUCAACUUCAAUGAGAGAGGGACGGCAACAUUUGAAGAUGUGUUGUUUUUUUGUGAAGCGGAAUGCACAUCUUCUGCCCUUUCAAACUCCACACAAGGUGGUGGAGUUGCAAGACGAAUUCACGGAGUACCAACUCUUGGACAAUGAGGAUAUCCCACAGAAGACAUGGGAUGAAGCACUUGUAAAGGAUGAAGUUGGAGUGUUUUUUUUCACAAGAUGGAGGUGAUUUGGGGCCAUCUUUCCAGUAGUUAAGCUUGCUGGGGGUAGCUCCAAAUUUGGCCAACUCUCUGCUAUAGCUAAACUUGUUCUUGUGAUCCCCCACUCAAAUGCUGGUGAUGAGCGAGUGUUUAGCAUGGUUAGAAAAAUCAAAACUGAUUUCAGGAGUAGUCUUUCCUUAGCCAGAACUAUCACCUCUCUUCUGACCAAGAAGAUGGCCAGCCCAGAAGCUGGUUCCCCAUGCUACAAAUGGGAACCUUCUAAAGAAGUGCAGAAAAAGGCACAAAGUGCAACAAAAGAAUAUAACUCUCUCCACUCCAAGUAAACUGAACAUUAUUGACUAUUACAAGUCAUUCAUGUUUUGAAGUGUUGCCUGUUAGUGACUCCUUGUCCAUUACCUUGUAGCUUUUGUUGAAAAAAAUAUCACAUCUCAUUAAUUAUACAAUCUGGUUAAUAUGAUAAUGCUUUAUGUUAUUGUGUAUAUACAGUAACGAAGUCAUGGGAUUAAAAUGAAGGAUGGAAGCCACAGGGCACUGACGUUAAUUGUUUCUUGUGUUUACAGUAGAUUGAAUCAUUGUAUGCCAUGCUAGUUCCUUUGUCAGGGUUUUGUUGUUGUGAAUUACCAGUUGAUUGCCAAAUAUCAAUUUGCUGAAAUAAUACAUCUUUAUUAUAAGGAUGAUGAGUGUUCCAAUUCCUGUAUAGCAUUUUAUCUGUUGAUAUGUCUUGUUUGUUCAUGUUGUUGGUUCAUUUCUUUUUGUCCAUACAGUGGACUAAACAGUAACAACAUGACAUAAAAACCUAUCUUCUGACUGAAAAUAAUAUGGAUGAAUUUGGCACUGGAAUGCAGGAAAUUGCAUCUAAGACACACCAGAAAGUAAACAUUUUCUGGGGGAGCAUGCCCCCAGACCCCCGUAGAUUUUUUGGCCGCUUCACGCCCUCAAUUCUCGGUCACUACGCGACCUCGCUGGACAGAUUUUACAUCCUCACACUUUUUCAUAAUUUGGGGUUCACAGGUCAGUGACUGACUCAGUGACCUCUGUAACUAUUUUAUAGAGCCUGGGUGGAGGAAGACCCACAAAGUGGAUCAAAAUGCCCUGUAAGUGUAUCUGAGAGCCCUCAUUUGUGUGCAGAUGCUACCCUGAGAAGUAGCACAGUCCCACCAGACUCUGGAGCCAAAAAUGGCCUCAUUUGCUCCCAAACUCAGCCACGCAACAGAGCUCCAGGAUUUAUAUGGGUUGUCGGGUUUUGGGAGUGUUCUCCGGUCAUGAAUGUGUGCUGGGCUUCAAUCGAGGGUCAGUAUUUAGCGGAGCGCCAGGGCUACCCAGGCGAUGUUGAAUGGGCCCCAGCGCAUGUUUGCGCUUCGAGCUAUAUGCCGAUAUGUUCGGACUCGUAGGCACCUUCAAUGUCCUCCAUUCCCUGGCAUUCCAAAGGACAGCAGUGGGUGUCCGGGGUACCGACUGUGGUCGCGCUGCGUCAUCGCGGCUGUGGUGAGGAGGGUGAAGCGCAAUGGUGUUUGUGGUGAAGAGGUUGCGACUGUGUUAAUGUGAUUGAAGCGUUUGUGGUGAAGAUGUCGAAUGUAGGUUAUUGUGGAGAUUUUUAGGAAAGUGAUUGUAGUUUGUAUGAAGGCUAUCGCGUUGAUGGUCUGAGUACUGUGAGGGUCUGAGGUGAAACGUCCAUUGGUGACGAGCGCGCAGUUUGAAUGGGGCCACCGUGGCAUAUGUUCAUGAGGCUCAAUUGACAUCACCGUUCGGUAUGUGGCGUGCAUGCACGUGUGAAGGAGACGUCGUGUGUAAAAUAAAGUGAAAUAAAAUAAAUGAAACAAGAGCAAAUGGAAUUAAAGAUCUCAUGAAAAGCCCUGCGCAACGCAUUUUGUCCCAUAUACGCACUAUGGAAGGGCGAACUGAAUGAAUACUAAUGAAAUAACUGUCUCGGGACCGCGAUAUGUUGGGUGCCAUUGCCUUGGGGGAGUGCUGGCUUUGAAGAACUGCAACGAUAUAUAAAGCAUGUUAACACUUAAAUGAAAAAUCACUUCGAGUGACACUUAGGGAAACGGAAUGGCACUCGGGAGAGAACAUACCUCUGCCAGGCUGAACAGUUUAAAUUUUGUAUCCCACUGACAGGUCGGAUCUGAA